rnacentral:rRNA from 1 species
UACAGAGGUCUCAAGCGUUUGUUCGGAUUCAUUGGGCGUAAAGGGUGCGUAGGCGGCGCGGUAAGUCGGGUGUGAAAUCUCGGAGCUUAACUCCGAAACUGCAUUCGAUACUGCCGUGCUUGAGGACUGGAGAGGAGACUGGAAUUUACGGUGUAGCGGUGAAAUGCGUAGAUAUCGUAAGGAAGACCAGUGGCGAAGGCGGGUCUCUGGACAGUUCCUGACACUGAGGCACGAAGGCCAGGGGGAGCAAACGGGG